rnacentral:tRNA from 1 species
GUUUUGGUGGCUUAAUUCGUAAAGCGUCGACCUUGUAAGUCGAAAACCGAGGGUUCAAAUCCCUCCCAAAACA